CCUGAAUAAGAGAAACGCGGAUAGCCAUGUGCCGCCAAUCGAACCGUCAAAAAAUAGCAGCCAAUCGAGCAGGAGACCUGUCAAGCAGCCAAAAUGUUGGCUCAAAUACUGAAAAUGGCCAAAUUCGAUUUUAUGCCAUUUAUCAACAAACAAAAUUGAAUGUAUUUUACAUUAGUUUGCAAUAAUAUAUGCAAGUCAUUAAUAGAUUAUGAAAUGAAAUUCCAUUAUUUAUUGGAUUCAAUUGUUAUGUAAUGUGGACACAUAAAAUAGCGGAUUGUGAGAUUUUAUCUACAUAAACCAUUUCUUUCUUUUCAUGUGUUGUUCUUUGAUGAAGAAGAUUGAAUGCAGUGUUGGCAGAGUCAUAUUUUUUAUCCGCGUUUCUCUUAUUCAGGCCUCUAGUGCGCCAUAUUCAAUUUUGUUAUUAUUUUUCGAAAGAAACAUUCAGCUAUAGCACAAACAAACUGGUAGUCGGUCGCAAAGGAUUCAUAUUGCGCUACAUCCAGGAUAUCACAAGCUACGACUCUACGAGGAACAGAGACAGGCAUUUGAGCAGCUGAAGACCUGUUCAUGCAGGAAGCUUCUCGACAGUUUACGCAAACCGGCUGGUCCCACAAAGCGCAUGUGGGAAAAUUCUGGGACGAUGCGGUAUCGUAAACUUCAAUGGUAUCGAGCUGAAAUGAUCGCCACCAAAUAAGUUCCAACCGGGUGAAAAAGCGCUAGAUUUAUUCUUCGUAGACUAUGGCGAAAAUUAGUAUAUCAAACCUUCUGAUGUGUACGAGCUUCGGGCGUACUUCGAAUUCAAGCGACUGAAUGUUUUCUGGCACAAUUUGAUCAAUUCGACAACAGGGGAAGAGGAGUUGGAUCGUUUGGCGAUUACCGGAUUAGAAAAGCUUACGCAUGCGGCUCAGUGUAAGAAACUACUUUCCCGCAUUGCCAUGUACCACAUAGGUAAAGGGACAUCGAGGCAAUCGUGAAUCUCGAGGAAGUGCAUCCGGCCCAGGUGUUGAGCUGUAUGCGACUGGACUGAGGUUCGCUUGCAUCCAGGUCCGAAGAGCUUAACGAUCUUUCAUCAGCUUUUAGAGCUAAGGAUACAGUUUCGUCUGUAGUAACGACGAUUCACCCGAGUGGACCAAUUUGCGAGGUGACCAACCAAGAUGAAGAACCCAGCUCCGUUACGUCAUGAAUUGGUGAACUCCAAAAGCAGAUGAAACUGAGAGUGACGACUUCAUACAAGCAAAAAAGACGAAUUACCAGUGCAACCGGAACAGCCGUCCGCUGCUCAAUAUUCAUCGAAUAGCUUGGAAGCAGGAGCAUGUAUCUGCCAUGUAUUAAACCACCAACAGAUUGUGCACGGAACAAAACGUUUGCGAUGCCCAUACCGAGGCUACCAGCAACUGCCGCGCAAUGUUUCUGACAUGCUAUGCGAUUUACCCAGCGUCGCAGGACAAUUGACGAUGAAUUGGCGCGUCCGUAUAUCCUGACUGUCACCAAUCCCAAAAACUUCCAAAUAUCUAUAUGCUGCUGUAGCAGAAUGGAACCGUGGUUGCGUUGGUGUGAUAAAAUCGUUACCGUCAAUUUAAUAAUAAGCGUUUUUAAUGUUUAUAUAAAUAUGGACAGAUAUUAUUAUUAUUUAUUUAUUCAGACUGAGGCCGAAGUGGCCUGUGCGGUAUAUAAGAGUCUCCUCCAUUCGGCUCGGUCCA